GAGGUUGGUUAUGCAGUAUUUUUGUGACAUUAGCUAACUGAUAGACCAUGCCAUAGAAACGCCUGCUAUCAAGAUAAAUAGAUGACUGACGACUGGGAGUCAUGAAAAGGCUCAGGCUCCACCUGCCAAGGGUUGCUCGACUUAGCAAAUAAAAAUACAGGACCCAGAUAAAUGUAAAUUUCAGAAAAUCAUCAAAUAAUUUUUUAGUAUAGGUAUGUCCCACGCAACAUUUCGGAAAUACUUACACUAAACAAUUAAUGCUUAUUUGAAUUACACACUUAACUGGCAUCCUCUAUUUUAUCUGGCAAUUCUAUUCUGGUAGAUUUCCAAGAGUCGCACUCUGCAGAAAGCACCUAUGCGUAAAAAUGGGCCUGAGCUAGAGAAUCAGAGAUGAAAACAGGAAGUCAUCUCCUCUACCCUCCAUCAGGCUUUAAGUCUCUGAGGCAGACUUUCCUAGAGGGACUGAGUCAGAGAAAAAGCUGCCUAAAAUGUUAAGAAAGUGCAGGCUUGCCAGUGGUUGGGAGAAGUCUCUUUCAGCUUUAUUAUUUAACCACCUUAAAAUCGGCGGUGCAUCAGGGAGCCCUGUCUUCCCUGGUUUCGGCAGCCUGUGGUUCCACAGAGAGCAUCCCUCCAAACCAUCUGAAUCCUGCAUCCCUUUCACUGGAUCCAAGAAGCGUUUCCUGGGUUACUGCACCAUCUGUCUCUGAGGUACCUGCAAGGGAAAGACACUGUGGGGGUGGCGAGAAAGGGACUGCAGACGGCCCAGGAGGGGACUGUGCAGGGACUGUUUGUCAAGGAGUCGGGCCAGCUAAUGAGUGACCAGUGAAGCCAGGGGGCUGGAUGAAAUCGGAGAGAAGAAAUCGAACACCACGGAGGUGAGAGUGCAGAAGAGCUACCACGUGGGAACUCAGUCCGCCCUCCACCUUCAUCUGUCUCUUUAGCAGAUUCGGACAAGCCACUGUUUUUGGCUUUGCACAGACUAGUUGGCUGUUUUCAUGAAUAAUCUCCAACUCAAUCCGGGAAGAAAUUCCACGCUGUCCGCCAGCAGCACAGAUUGUUGCAGGAAAAAUGACACAACUUCAUCCUCUGGGCAAACUUGAAAAUUAUUACAAAUUUCCCCAUCUCUCCUCCACUUGCACAGCUGGCUGUAGAAGCUGUGCAGGCUCUGCUCCUGAGCACUUCUCAGGACUCAGGUAGCAAGCUCGCCUACGCAUGGCCUUGGUGCAAAGAUGGAUUCCAGAAAGGGACACCGACCAGCUAAAAUUCUGCACCUCCAGAUAAAUGACACCAUGAAAACCAAAUGUGCAUAAUGUGGUCAUCAGGGCAGCACAGUUUUGACAUAAACCACAUCCAGCUUGUCUGAGGACCAGGGUUGACCUAACCACCGAUAACUCUGUCUGUGACCGCUGACAGUACUAGAACUCAGCUUUUUCCAGGUAUGCAGGCUCCCACUCACAUGUUGCUUGUAGAUUUCAUAGACUCUCUCCCACUUGGAUCCAAUUCAGUGAAUAAUUCUUGAAUCCCUAUGGCGCUCAUCACACCGUGCUAGGCUCCAGGGGAAUACAAUAAUUAAUAAGGGUCUAGCUUCAGGCAUUUUGCUGUUUGGAAGGAAAAGAGAUCUACAAAUCGCUAUAAAUGUGAGAAGAGACUAAAAAGGACCUGCACGGUUGUAGCGACCAUGGAAGGAGGGGAUAUGGAGAGAUGGUCCUUGGCAGGGAAGGCCUAGGUGUUCUCAUGGAGGAGGCAGCAUUUGAGCAGGGCCAUAAAGGGCUUUAGCGAUGGCCUCUGGGAGGUCAGGAAAGGCACCAGGAUGAGCAAAGGUGUGGAGGGAGGGUGACCGCUAAGCACAGGGUUUGUAGGGAGAAGAAAGAUAAGUCAGAUUUUAGUGUGAGAUGAGGGGUCAGAGCCUCAGAAGCACUUCCUCGGAGGAGCACCCAGAGUUUGAUUUGUGUCCCCAACUGGACUCCCGAUGCUGGUGGGGCCUCCAUCCGACAGUGCACAGUCCAUUGCCCAACUUUUCCCCUCUUAUUCAGAACGCUGGAUUCAAAAAUAGUUUCCCCUGAUAGCUUAAAGGAUGGACCUGACGUGUACCAAUGUUAAGUUAUAAUCACGAUUCUUCAGGCUGUUUCUUUAGAAGACCUCAAGUAGUUGCAAGCUCCAGCUGUCUCUGCUGAAAAAGAGAAAGUCAAUUCUCCCUGUUGCAAAAACUUUUGGAGCAGCAGGAAACCAACCUGUCAACUGAAAUUGAUUUAUUCACUCGACUGGAAUGACCCGACCCACUUGACACAUCUGAGAGGGGGCAGUUUACUUUCAUUCAACCCACAGAUUCGGGCUGAUCAUCAUGCAAUAACGAAACAUUUGCCUGAGCAAGUCAGGGUAGAAAUGACCAUGCCCACUUAAUGGAGAAAAUGAAGCACAAAUUUCACAGUCACCCAAGAGAGAUACUCACUUCUAGCCUAGUAAUAUGCUCACCAGAUCAUCCCGAUGGUUUCCUUAGGUGUAGGAUGAAUUCCAGGCUUCCUUUGCAUCUCUAUGUGUCUUUUUCCCUUAAUCAGAAAGCCAAAUGCUAGAGCUUCUUUACCACCACAGGAAAG
rnacentral:lncRNA from 1 species